UACGUAGGGGGCAAGCGUUGUCCGGAAUUAUUGGGCGUAAAGCGCGCGCAGGCGGUUUCUUAAGUCUGAUGUGAAAGCCCACGGCUCAACCGUGGAGGGUCAUUGGAAACUGGGAGACUUGAGUGCAGAAGAGAAGAGCGGAAUUCCACGUGUAGCGGUGAAAUGCGUAGAGAUGUGGAGGAACACCAGUGGCGAAGGCGGCUCUUUGGUCUGUAACUGACGCUGAGGCGCGAAAGCGUGGGGAGCGAACGGG
rnacentral:rRNA from 1 species